rnacentral:rRNA from 1 species
GACGAACGCUGGCGGCGUGCUUAACACAUGCAAGUCGAACGGAAAGGCCCUGAUUUUGUGGGGUGCUCGAGUGGCGAACGGGUGUGUAACACGUGAGUAACAUGCCCUUGAAUUUGGGAUAACUUCAGGAAAAUGGGGCUAUUACAGGAUAGAAGCUCCUGCAGCAUGGUGGGGGUUGGAAAGUUUCGGUGGUGGGGGAUGGACUCGCGGGUUAUCCGUUUGUUGGUGGGGUAGUGGCUUACCAAGGCUGUGACGGGUAGCCGGCCUGAGAGGGUGACCGGCCACAUUGGGACUGAGGUACGGCCCAGACUCGUACGGGAGGCAGCGGUGGGGAGUAUUACGCAAUGGGCGGAAGCCUGAUGCAGCAACGCCGCGUGCGGGAUGACGUCCUUCUGGUUGUAAACCGCUUUCGCCUGUGACGAAGCGGGAGUGACGGUAAUGGGUAAAGAAGCACCGGCUAACUACGUG